rnacentral:rRNA from 1 species
GACGAACGCUGGCGGCGUGCUUAACACAUGCAAGUCGAACGGAAAGGCCCCCAUCUUGGUGGGGGUGCUCGAGUGGCGAACGGGUGAGUAACACGUGGGUGAUCUGCCCUGUACUUCGGGAUAAGCUUGGGAAACUGGGUCUAAUACCGGAUAGGACCAUGGUUUAGUGUCUCAUGGUGGAAAGAUUAUUGUUUUGGUGCAGGAUGAGCUCGCGGCCUAUCAGCUUGUUGGUGGGGUAAUGGCCUACCAAGGCGUCGACGGGUAGCCGGCCUGAGAGGGUGGACGGCCACAUUGGGACUGAGAUACGGCCCAGACUCCUACGGGAGGCAGCAGUGGGGAAUAUUGCACAAUGGGCGCAAGCCUGAUGCAGCGACGCCGCGUGGGGGAUGACGGCCUUCGGGUUGUAAACUCCUUUCGUUAGGGACGAAGCCACGCUUUUGGGGUGUGGUGACGGUACCUUUGUUAAGAAGCACCGGCUAACUACGUG